AUGAGAUGGCUGGAUGGCAUCACUGACUCGAUGGACGUGAGUCUGAGUGAACUCCGGGGGUUGGUGAUGGACAGGGAGGCCUGGUGUGCUGCGAUUCAUGGGGUCACAAAGAGUCGGACACGACUGAGUGACUGAACUGAACUGAACUGAACUGACACAGAGCUCAGAGAUCCCAUAUCAGUAGUAUGUAAAUGUAGCAGGAAAACAGGCUGCAGGCUCUGGAAUUCAGACUUGUCUGGACAUGCCUGGUGUACUGAAAAAGUCUGCCGACUCCUUAGGAAACUCUAGGCUGAAAACUUUAAGGUAUUUAAAAAUGUUACCUGGGUAAGCUCUUCCUGACGAGAAGCUGGGUGUGGAAUGAGCCUACCAGGGCACUUUCGGUCCCUGGUCAGGAGAUGUAGUACUGCCCAGGCUCGUCAGACACAGGAAGUCAGAAUCCACUAAGGAAAGUGUAAAAGCCCACCUCCGAAGAAUCCAGCCUGGGAAUGGCCAGGCACGAGGGACCAAACACAACUGGCUCUUCCUGGCGAAGGAUAAAUGCUCCAAAGGAUAAACGAUGCUCACUCCAGCCCUCCGCGGAGCGCAGAGGAGACGGGGUCGAACUGGGAAAGCAGCGUUGUCACUCACGCAGAAGCCAACGGCGCGCCCUGCGGCGUUCUCUCUUCUCUCUCUGCAGUAGGCAGCCGCGCGGACUGCG
ensembl:lncRNA